UUGAAACACCGCUUUCCGGACGAUCUCCGAAUUUAAGCAACGUUGAGACUGGUUAGUACCAAGAUGAGAGACCGUUUGUGAAUACCAAGUACUGUAAGC